rnacentral:rRNA from 1 species
AAAACAUGGUUUUUUGAUUAUAAUAUAAAAUUGGUUCUGCUCAAUGAAAUUUUAAAUAGCUGCAGUAUUUUAACUGUACUAAGGUAGCAUAAUAAUUUGUUUAUUAAAUAUAAACUGGAAUGAAUGAAUUGAUAAAAUAAAAACUUUAUUAAUAAAAUUAGUUGAAAUUAUUUUUUUAGUUAAAAAACUAAAAUAUUUUAAUGGGACGAGAAGACCCUAUAGAAUUUUAUAUAUAUAUUAAAUAUUUUUAUGAAUAUUUUAAUUAAAUUUAAUAUAUAUAUUUGAUUGGGAGGAUAAUUAAAUUUAAUAAACUUUAAUUUAAAUUUUUCAAUAAUUAUUGAAUUUAAGAUUUUUUAUUAAAAUUUAAAAGUAAAAUUACCUUAGGGAUAACAGUGUAAUAUUUUUGGAAAGAUCUAAUUGAUAAAAAUGUUU